rnacentral:RNase_P_RNA from 1 species
GGCAAGCAGGUGUUCCGUCGCUGACGAUGGCUAAAAACGCAAUCGUUAGAGGAACUUCCCGACUCUCGGUAUCGUCAAUCCGACGAUACAAGAUUGCCUGACGAAACAGCAAGUCAGGGCAGACCCAUUCUCUCUCUCUUACGAGCAGCGCGUUGACGGUCUGACGACAACUGCAACAGAAAAUAUUCCCGCCGUAGAGGCAACCCUUGCGGUCGUCCUUUGCGGUCAGGGGCGAACCGGUGGGGUAAAAGCCCACCAGCGUCGGCAGAAAUGACGGCGGCUAGGUGAAUGUCCAAUCGAGAGCAAGGCAGGUGGGCUGGCAGCAAUGUCAGUCCUGUCGCAGCGCCGUUGUAACUGGCGCAAGCUAGGCGCAAGCGGCGCCGGUAUGCAAAUACCGAGACAGAUGACGGAAAAAACAGAAUCGGGGGUACGACCACUUGCCAAGC